rnacentral:rRNA from 1 species
GGAUACCCGGCAGGGGUUGCGCCGACGGGGUUGCAGGGCCGCGCAUCCGGGGGCUGCCGCCCCCGGGCGCAGGUCCGGCUGGGGAGCGGAACGGCAUGGGAGGGCCGGCCGCAGCGGGUGACAGCCCCGUACGCGAACCCAGACCGGACGGCGCGACGCGGUCCCUGAGUAGGGCCGGGCACGUGAAACCCGGUCCGAACCUGGGUGGACCACCAUCCAAGCCUGAGUACUACCCUGUGACCGAUAGCGCACCAGUACCGUGAGGGAAAGGUGAAAAGCACCCCGGGAGGGGAGUGAAACAGUACCUGAAACCGUGCGCCCACGAGCAGUCGGAGCACCUUUAUGGUGUGACGGCGUGCCUUUUGUAGAAUGAGCCAGCGAGUCGCUGGCGCGGGGCGAGGUUAACCGAAAGGGAGCCGGAGCGAAAGCGAGCCUUAACAGGGCGACUUGAGUCCCGCGCCGCGGACGCGAAGCCGGGUGAGCUAUCCGUGGGCAGGCUGAAGCGGGGGUAAGACCCCGUGGAGGGCCGAACGCACGUCGGUUGAAAACGGCGGCGAUGACCUGCGGAUAGGGGUGAAAGGCCAAUCAAACCCGGAGAUAUCUCGUUCUCCCCGAAAUAGCUUUAGGGCUAGCGUCGCGCGUUCACCGCCGGAGGUAGAGCACCGGAUGGACGAGGGGGCUUCGCCGCCUACCGAAUCCAACCGAACUCCGAAUGCCGGCGGCCCAGAGCGCGGCAGUCAGAGCAUGUGGGCUAAGCUGUGUGCUCGAGAGGGAAACAGCCCGGACCGCCCGCUAAGGUCCCCAAGUUCCAGCCGAGUGGCAAAGGAUGUGCGUCCGCCCAGACAACCAGGAUGUUGGCUUAGAAGCAGCCAUCCAUUCAAAGAGUGCGUAACAGCUCACUGGUCGAGUGGACAUGCGCCGACAAUACACGGGGCUAAGCUGGACACCGAAGCGGCGGGAUUUUAAUUCAUUAGAAUCGGUAGGGGAGCUUCCCAUGGGCGGAGAAGCCGGAGGGCGACCGACGGUGGAGCGCAUGGGAGUGAGAAUGCUGGCAUGAGUAGCGAGAGACGAGAGAGUAACUCGUCCGCCGUGAACCCGAGGUUUCCUGGGCAAGGCUAAUCCUCCCAGGGUCAGUCGGGGGCUAAGGCGAGGCCGGGAGGCGUAGCCGACGCGCAGCAGGCAGACAUUCCUGCACCGCGCACGCGGCGCUACGACCGACGGGGCGACGGAUGGGGGUGGCUCGGCGGGGUUCUGGACGUCCCCGUGAUGGAGCGCGGCCCGCGGACCAGGGAAAUCCGGUCCGCACACAGGGCGAGGCUCCGGACGAAGCGACUGAGCGAAGCGAGUGAGCCCGAGGUCCCUAGAAAAACCCCUAGGCAGGCGCGUGCGCGCCCGUACCGCAAACCGACACAGGUGGGUGGGUAGAACAUACCGAGGCGAUCGGGUCAACCAUGGUCAAGGAACUCGGCACAAUGGCCCCGUAACUUCGGGAGAAGGGGUGCCCGCGCGUACGUGAACGGACUUGCUCCGGGAGCGGAGGCGGGCCGCAGUGGAGAGGCCCAAGCGACUGUUUACCAAAAACACAGGACUCUGCAGAAGCCGCAAGGCGACGUAUAGGGUCUGACGCCUGCCCGGUGCCGGAAGGUCACGCGGAGGAGUUAGCCGAUUCGGCGAAGCCCCGAAGCCAAGCCCCGGUAAACGGCGGCCGUAACUAUAACGGUCCUAAGGUAGCGAAAUUCCUUGUCGGGUAAGUUCCGACCUGCACGAAAGGCGCAACGACUUGGGCGCUGUCUCGACCAUGGACCCGGUGAAAUUGCACUGGUCGUGAAGAUGCGACUUACCCGCGGAAGGACGGAAAGACCCCGUGAACCUUCACUGCAGCUUGGCAUUGGCCGCUGGUCCCGCGUGUAGAGGAUAGGCAGGAGGCACAGAUCCGGAGGCGCCAGCCCCCGGGGAGCCGCCCUUGGAAUACUGCCCUCGCGCGACCGGCGUCCUAACCCGAGGCCGUCAACCGGCUCGGGGACCGUGCCAGGCGGGCAGUUUGACUGGGGCGGUCGCCUCCUAAAGGGUAACGGAGGCGCGCGAAGGUCCGCUCGGGACGGUCGGCAACCGUCCUUUUGAAUGCAAGAGUACAAGCGGGCUUGACUGCGAGGCCCACAAGCCGAGCAGGUGCGAAAGCAGGCUCUAGUGAUCCGGCGGCCCCGAGUGGGUGGGCCGUCGCUCAACGGAUAAAAGGUACUCCGGGGAUAACAG